rnacentral:rRNA from 1 species
GACGUAGGGUGCAAGCGUUGUCCGGAAUUAUUGGGCGUAAAGAGCUCGUAGGCGGUUUGUCACGUCGGAUGUGAAACCCUGAGGCUCAACCUCAGGCCUGCAUUCGAUACGGGCAGACUAGAAUUCGGCAGGGGAGACUGGAAUUCCUGGUGUAGCGGUGAAAUGCGCAGAUAUCAGGAGGAACACCGGUGGCGAAGGCGGGUCUCUGGGCCGAUAUUGACGCUGAGGAGCGAAAGCGUGGGGAGCAAACAGG